UACGUAGGGUGCGAGCGUUGUCCGGAAUUAUUGGGCGUAAAGGGCUCGUAGGCGGUCUGUUGCGUCGGGAGUGAAAACUCGGGGCUUAACCCUGAGCCUGCUUCCGAUACGGGCAGACUAGAGGUAUGCAGGGGAGAACGGAAUUCCUGGUGUAGCGGUGAAAUGCGCAGAUAUCAGGAGGAACACCGGUGGCGAAGGCGGUUCUCUGGGCAUUACCUGACGCUGAGGAGCGAAAGUGUGGGGAGCGAACAGG
rnacentral:rRNA from 1 species